UACGUAGGGAGCGAGCGUUGUCCGGAAUUACUGGGUGUAAAGGGAGCGUAGGCGGGGAUGCAAGUUGGGUGUCAAAACUACCGGCUCAACUGGUAGUCGCUCUCAAAACUGCAGCUCUUGAGUGAAGUAGAGGCAGGCGGAAUUCCUAGUGUAGCGGUGAAAUGCGUAGAUAUUAGGAGGAACACCAGUGGCGAAGGCGGCCUGCUGGGCUUUUACUGACGCUGAGGCUCGAAAGUGUGGGGAGCAAACAGG
rnacentral:rRNA from 1 species